GGUAAAGUCAAUACUUCUGCAUUGAAAACAUUUCAACUACCAUCGUAGUUCAGGAUACGUGUCCACAUCGACAAAAUGGAGCACCAGUGUAAAUAUCUAGGUGUACCAGUCCAGGGCAGCAAGUAUGUCUACAAUGAAAACAUUUCAAGAACCAGCAUGUAUGGCAGUUCCAUUGCCAGUGGGACUGCAGAAUGUUAAGUGGUGUGCUCCCAAGCUGUUCAUCAAUGGAACUCUGCCUGGACUGC
rnacentral:lncRNA from 1 species